UGGGGAGGAGUUCGGAUUGGGGGAAAUUGCCUUUAAUAAAUAUGAAGAACAAAAGUAUACACUAUAUUAAAUUUAUAUUAAAAAUAUUUAUUAAAUAUUUUUCUAAUUAUUUUUAAUUAAGUGUAGUUAUUCUUAUUUGUUACUUAUGUAACUUUAUAUAGUGAUUUAACUCUUUUGUUGAGAUUUAUUAAUAUCGAUUAACCCUUCUGAGUAACAUCUCA
rnacentral:rRNA from 3 species